GACGAACGCUGGCGGCGUGCUUAACACAUGCAAGUCGAACGGAAAGGCCCUGCUUUUGUUGGGUGCUCGAGUGGCGAACGGGGGAGUAACACGUGAGUAACCUGCCCCUGACUUUGGGAUAACUUCAGGAAACUGGGGCUAAUACCGGAUAGGAGCUCCUGCUGCAUGGUGGGGGUUGGAAAGUUUCGGCGGUUGGGGAUGGACUCGCGGCUUAUCAGCUUGUUGGUGGGGUAGUGGUUUACCAAGGCUUUGACGGGUAGCCGGCCUGAGAGGGUGACCGGCCACAUUGGGACUGAGAGACGGCGCAGACUCCAACGGGAGGCAGCAGUGGGGAAUAUUGCACAAUGGGCGGAAGCCUGAUGCAGCAACGCCGCGUGCGGGAUGACGGCCUUCGGGUUGUAAACCGCUUUCGCCUGUGACGAAGCGUGAGUGACGGUAAUGGGUAAAGAAGCACCGGCUAACUACGUG
rnacentral:rRNA from 1 species